UGGAGCAAAUGGAGAAGGUGUCAGCUGAGGACACAUCUGUGGAGAAACAACAGACCCUGCACACAGAAUGAGAGAUGGAGAGGAAUGUUCUGGUAGCCACCUUGGUGUAGCAACCAUGUUUUUAUUAGUAAUAAUUUUUUUCAUACUUAUCAAGUGUUCAUGAUGCUCUGGGCUCCUUAGUCAUACAUAAUGAAGUCUUUGCACAUGCUGUGUUAAGUUGAGAUCUUCUGACUCCGUGUCAUGGAGGUUGACAGACACAUAUUUAGGUAAUGUAUGUGAGCUUUCAUACUGACAGAGAGAGGACUUGAACCCUGAACAUGGUAAUCCACAUCUCACUCUCAGAUGACUAAGCUCCACUGUCUUAAAGACACAACCGCAUUCCCUCCUCUUUAUAUUACAUGUGUGCAUCGUAGUCUGUGUGUGUUAUAAAUGGUUCUUCUGUUUCCACAGCACUGCCUGUGCCAAGUGCCAGGUCCUCAUCUUAGUAAGUUUAUGGGGUCCAGAAGUCAAACUCUCCUUGCUGCUGCAGUAUCUUUGUCCUAUCAGGACCUGGAGUCCUACCUGCCCCCAGCCCUGAUGUGUGAUGCCUUUGACACCCGCUCUUCUCCCUGACUCUGGGACCUUGUGAUGAUCCUCAUCAUUGUGUAAAUAGUGAUACAAAGAAUGUUCUCAUUGCCUGUUUUAGUGCCUGCAUUUGUGCUAAUUUCCUCAUGACAUUUGUAGGAGUAGAAGGACUGGGUUAAAGGCGUUAACACAGGCAGUGUGUGAGGACGCUCAUUCCUUCAUUCUGACCAGUCCUCAGGAGUCUUUGGGGGGUGGGGAAGACUUCAUAAAGAGAGUGACACAAACUGCACUGGGAUUGCCUGGAAGAUGAGGAAGGAAGGAAAGAAAGAAUGUCAGCAGUGUGGGUCUUAGGUAUCAGCUCCUCCUAGGACCUGACCAAAAGGAGAGUGUUGGUAUGGUAACAGUUGAAGAUAAUGGUGGGUCCUUCUCAGGAUUGCAGUCUGCUCUUGUAACUGCCAACUCAGUGGUCUUUCCCAAACCCUCCAAGUCUGCAUAUAUCCCAGGCUGGCAUGAGACACACUAUGGAGCCCAGGAGAAGCAUGUACACCUUAUCUUUGGCCUGACCCACCCAAGUGUAAGGAUCCCAGGUUUGUUCCCCUCCCUUCCACUGUUUAAACCUUCUCAUACUCACAUGGAUUCAUAAUGCAAUAGAAAGAAUAUUUUAAAAAAAACCUAAGAGUUAGUCAGUCUUACACAUGGAAGAUGUUCUAAAGUCCCCUCCCCAAAGUGAAACCUCAGGGACAGCAUCCUUCCUGGUCUGUAAUAUUAAUUGGAACUUGGGACAUUAGUAGACAGGGAUGGAGUCAUGUGUUCAUUUACAGGCUCCAAAAAAACAAGCACAGUAAUAUCCAAAUCCAUCUUAGAACUAAUUUAUUGGCAAAAGAUUAUAAACAUUUGAAAGACGCCCAUUGGUCCAGUUAUGGGUACACAUCCCCACUGUAGCUGUUGGCUGUGGAAGGUUGUGGAGUUUUGUAGGACAGUCAACAACACUCACCCAGGACUGUAAUAUGCUCAGGUGGGGCCAUAACCACCCAAUUAUCCAGCAGGCAGACAGCAGAGUGAGUUCAUGGAAACCUUUGCCAGGGUGUGUGGUGCAGGUCAGAGUAACUUGCUUAAGGCCCAAGUGGGGUGAGUUGGGAAGAAGUGACCAUCUGUACUAGUCAGGUUCUCUAGAGUAGCAGAACUCACAGAAUCCAUCUCUCUACAUAGAAAGGGGUUUAUUAGAACGACUGACGGGCUGUGGUUCAGCUAGUCCAACCGUGGCUGCCUACGAAUGGAAGGCUGAAGACUCCAGAUACUGCUCAGUCCACAAGGCUGGAUGUCUUCAGUAUAUGCGGGAAUACUGAAGAAGGAGGCUGUAUUGCUGGAUGGGCAACAAUUAUGGCUCCCUGGCCGCUGGAUCAGGGCUCGGAAAGGAGCAGAAACUGAAGACAGGAGUGUGACGUCGUCUUGAUGGCCCUCCGGUAUUGGCCAUGGCACUAUUAUCUCUAUGGAAGUGACCUCGAUGACAUCGGUCUUCACCCUACCAACAUGGGGUCAGGUGAAAUCUCUUGCAGCCCAGGGUCAGAUUAUUGUCCAGCAGUCCAGAAGACCAGUAACAGCUGAACAUCUUUUUCUGGCCCUGUGUGCUCUGCUAACUGUCUCUUCUGUUCUGGGACCAGCUGUAAGUUACUGGGCUUAUGUCCCUAACCCACCUAUGUUUGAACCUGUCUUUUGGGGAGAUACUGAUAUGUUAGUAUAUACCACUCCCAGUAUCCUCUCUCGUCCUUGGAAUAAUUUGAUUUGUCUGAAUAAUUUUGUUGGGACUCCAUAUAAUUUUACUUAUAUAAAUAAAAGGAAGCCGAUAUGCUUUGGAAAUGGUCCUUGUUUUUCAAUGGGAUUUGAGCAUUGGUUACAACCUGGUAUUAAAAUCGGCAGAUCUCGUACUCGUCUUCAAAGACUCUCAGCAUGGUCCAUUAAUCAGACCUGGGAUAAUAUUAUUGAAAGUUAUGAAUUAGCAUACCCUGUAUGUCCAGAUUUUACAUAUUAUAGUUUAAAAUAUGAGUCACUUAUUGGGAAAAUUUGUUUGGGCAAAUUUGGCAAAAUAAAUGGAUCAAUUGG